rnacentral:rRNA from 1 species
UCAGAGACCGUUCGGAGAUUACUUAUCUAGACUACGCUCAGAGAUGGGAAUGGAAGAUCACCAUUCAGUACCCUUAGAGAAAUUCAAGUUCUUGAGUUUUGAGGGAGGUAUGGUCGCCAGACUGAACUUUAAAGAGAAAUUGACGGAAGGGCACCACCCAGGAGUGGGAGCCCUGCGCCUUAAUUUGACUCCAACACGGGAAAACUUACCAGGUCCCAGACAUAGUAAGGAUUGACCAGAUUGAUAGCUCUUUUCUUGAUUCUAUGGGUGGUGGUGCAUGGCCGUUCUUAGUUGGUGGAGUGAUUUGUCUGGUUAAUUCCGAUAACGAACGAGACCCUUAACCUGCUAACUAGAUAUUUUCAUUUUAUGAAUAUAUCUUCUUAGAGGGACUAUAGGCGUGCCCGUAUAUGGAAAGUUUGAAAAAAAUGGCAAGGUCUGUGAUGCCCUUGUGUGUCCUGUGCUGCGCGCGUGCUACACUGAUAUAUACAACAAGUGCCUAGCUAGAUAUAGUAUGGCAAUCUCGAAUAUAUAGUAGAGAUAGGGAUAGAUCUUUGCAAUUAUAGAUCUUGAACGAGGAAUUCCUAGUAAGUGCAAGUCAUCAUCUUGCAUUGAUUAUGUCCCUACCCUUUGUACACACCGCCCGUCGCUCCUACCGAUACCGGGUGAUCCGGUGAACCUGCGGACCCUUUGGGAAAUUUUUAUCCUAACCUGGAAUUAUAACACCGCGCUUCCUGCUCGAUUCUUCUGGCCGCUUUUACCACCUGCGCCCCGCCU